AUGGAGGCCGGGAAUCUGCAUUUUCCGCGAGCUCCCAGCGCUGCUGUCGCUGGUUCCAGAGUGCGCUCAGCAUCAGCGCCCCCUGCAGCCCUGAAUACAGAUGUGGUCCUUCAGCUGUGCGUGUGGUGCCAAACAGGUCGUGCUCCCCGCCCCCCCAGCCUCCACGGACAGCAGCAUGGAACCCCUGAUGCUGUGCUCCCUGCGGGAAGACGAGUGAGCUGCCCACGAGUGCAGUGGGCGGGUGGGUUUGAGAGACGAGGUGGUUUCCCCACUCUGGCGCAGGCAGAUUCCUCCAGAUCUUCACCCAGCAGUGUCUGCCUAGAGGAAGCUGCUCCUCGUCCUCCCUCCGCGCAGGAGCUGGGGGGGAGGGCAGAGGGGCUGUCCCCUGCUUCUGAGCACACUGCCGACGGCCGGACCUCCCCCUCAGCCCUCCCUGGGGUUGUCCAGGCAUUCAGGACACGAGGCUGCUAUGUCCUUCCCUGCAGUGCCAGCACGAACCACACGGAACUUCAGCCCGGUCCCUCCGGGGCUCUGACCCCAAUGACCACACAGCCCCUUCCCUUCUCAGCUCCUCACAGCAGCAAAGGAACGCUCAGAGAGAACAACCACGAGAGGCCAGAGGGAUUCCGUUUCAGUGAUCUGGUUCAAAUGUUGCCUGGUGAACUGGGGAGACCCUGGGCCCUGAAGUCUCAACUCAGCCCAUCCCAAAGAUGUCGCCAAAGGCUCUCGGUCUCCUUAUGAGAAAGAAUUCAGGGACAGACGUGCAGCACCGCAGAUGAGCGACACAAACAGGAAAGUUCAUUAAAGCAGGGUACGCUCGAGAUGCGAGAGCAGGCCGGCUUGAGAGAGAGCUGCAUUCCUGGGGUUCGGGUUUUACCUUUUAUUAACAGUUCUUAAGGGGUGGGAUAUUCAUUAUUGGAGGUGAGGAUUUCUUGGUAGCAGGAUUUUGUGCCUUUUUCUUAUUUGACCAGAGGUUUCCUGUCAUGGCACCGCCAUCGGGGGCCUGUCUGGUGGGAUCUGGCUUCUCGUGGAUGUGGCCAGGACAGGCUACUGACCUUCCCCACACCUCACGUGGCUGCCUCCAUGCUGGCCUCCGGGCAUCCCGUUAGAGCCUCCGUGCCGCCUCUAACAGUUUCACUAAUAUGUGUGAAGGAAACAUUAAAGACCCAAUUUCCAAAUAUCCCCCUUUUAUUAAAAUUAAUCAUAAGAUAACAUCAUAAUUUAUAAAUCUAUUAAUUAGUUAUUUUCCAUUUUCCAAUUAGAACAUUGUCUGUUUGGUCCAAAGAUACCAAAAGCUACAGCAGAAAAACCAAAUGAAGCCCAGAGUGUCUCUGUGAGUGUUGGUUCCUCCCAAAAGUUGGGGGCUUUACUGACUGAACCAGAUGGUUUCCUCACUUCUGAUUGUGUAGUCUUACCGCUGGCUUUCUCUACUGGUGCGCACAAGAAACAUCCAGACGUGACGAAAGAACCCCAUCUGAGCCAUCCGAGACAGGUUGUCCUUUCACUUUCCCGUUUGGAAAUACUUGCACGUAUAAACUUGUAUGCAUUGUUCAUGAAGCCUGCUGGAGUUUUCUGUGGGCACUUGUUGGUUUUCCAGGGGUUUUGAAACAUGGCUCCCCGUUUCUAGCUUCCGUUUAAUUUGUAGACCACGGCUUGAGUUAGAUCUAAGGAUUUUAGAUGUGCGUCAAGAGGGUGCCGCAUGUGAGUGUCUCUUCCGUGUCUUGGUUUCUCCCAACAAGGCCUAAGACCACCGAGGGUGCGCAGUACACUGGAUGGCCUGUCCUUGCGUGUGCGUCCCUGGACAGGCCAGUCAUUAGUCACCUUAUGAGGUGGGAAGUUCCUGUGGGAGAGCUCCGUAUCUCCAGGAGUGUCGUCAGACACUUCCGCUAGGCUCUCCGUCACCUGAAAGCACCAUGUGCCUGGAAGGAGCAAGUGUCCCUUCUCUUCAGAGCUGAGAGAGUCAGUCUCUCAUUUUUCUAGCCACAAAGUUUUAUUCAAGCCUUGUAUUAGUAUCAAUUAAUAUAAUGCCAAAUUAAGAUGAACGACCCACAAACAACCCCCUCGAGGUUAUUCCCACCUAGAGAACAUUACCAGUAACCCUCAGCAGCUCAAGUCUAAGUCAGGUGUGGAUAGCUGGAGAUCCCACCAGGUACACCUGUGAGGGGCUGAGACGUCGGAGGGGGCGUAAGAGGCCUGUGCUGGGCCCGAGCACCCAUUUCCAGAGGACCUCCAGGGGUUCACAGGCAAGUGGCUCUGAUAGCCUAUGGCUGCGCCCAGAAAUGUUGACACCCUUUUAGAAUUUCUUUAAAAAAGGAAGACAGUUUUUUAUUUGAGCCCAAGUUAGUUCUGCUGCCUGGAAUACACAAUCUGCAUAAAGGAGUGCUAUGGUGAGGGAGCACUUCAUGUAGAGCUAUAUUCGUACAGAAAAAGUUAGCAAUCAUUAAACAAAGGACAUGUCAGAAGUUGCUGAGCUUACGUUCCUCUUCCAGUACGUGCAGGGCUCACGACUCAUGGCAACCAGGAGGGUUGAUGCCUUUGUGUUCAGAAUGCUCCUUUUUGGUUCUUUCUUUAAGGAAGCCGAUGUACAGAGUGCUGGGGGUAGAAAUGGAGCUCACGGGUUUUGCUG
ensembl:lncRNA